GAAAAGACAGAGAGUAGCAUGCCUCUACCCAGUUAUGAGGACACCGAGGUGUGAAUCCCGAAUUCUAGUCACAAAACUGAGUUGCAAAAUUCAAAUAAAAUAGUAAAGUGCUAAGGACCACAAUGUAUUCUAAUGUAAAUCUACAAACGGGGAAAAUAUUGAUUUGCUGCUUGAUGUAUUAUUACUAAGCUUUUCUUCUGCUCAAUCCAAGUUAGUAUAUACUCUGUCUUGUCUCUGUUUCUCUCAGUCUCCCUGUGUCUCUGUCUUUGUCUCUCUCUUCUCCCUCCCCUCCCUCUCUUCCCUCUCCAUUUUCUCUAAAGUAUAAGCAAAUGUAUUUGCAUACAUUAAAAUCAUAAAGAACCCAAAACAUCUGGAAAUUUUAGAAGCAAAGCAAAAUAGUCAGGGGAGAAACCCAGUUUUAAAAUGCAGAUGUUUAAUUGUGCUGUCAGUUUUGUUACAAGGGCACAAGAGCAGAAAUAACCAGAAGUCAAUGGCAGAAAAUUAAAAUACUUUCAGGAGCGCUUGCCAAGGUAAAAGCAGUGAAAUUGGUAACACAAUAUGGACACGGCCUUUCUAGACUGAGAUCUGGAAAUGUUACCAUGUGCAAUUUCAUAAAUUAGCUAUUUCAAAUGAAAAUCCUUUUCAUUAAAGGACACAAUAAAAGUUUUUCAUACUCUCUCUUCCCUUUGGUCAUCAACAUCAGGCAGUUAUUUGGGGUUUGUCUUUCAUCAAUGACAAGCUCUUUCCCCCACCCUUCGGGCCCCGUUUCUAAGACUCUGAUAGUGCUGAGUGGCCAGAAAUUACAGAUGCAGGACAGCUGACAAAUGACUGCCAGGCCCCUCCCCCAGGGCCUUGGCAGUCACAGCUCCUGCCGGAACACGCCUGAGCACAGCGAGCCUUCCAGACAAAGACACAAAGAUUCCAUUUUCUCAAGGAAAAAUAGAUUUCAUGUGUAAAACACUGGUGAGAAAAACUCAAAGCUGACACACAUGUGCGGUCUCCACGAGGCGAGGCUGAAUCGCUCCGAAGACUCAAAUUUCACUUGAUUGCAUCAAAGCCUAACAAAUAUUAUUUAACCGAAGAGUAUUUCAGGCAGGCUGUAAAAGGGGGAAAAAAAAAAAAGAAAAAAGACAGGCAACGGUAAGAUAUUUUAUUUGUUGAAGCGCGUGAUUAAGAAGGCAAAAGAAUCCCGAGCUUAGUAGAGAUGUUGAUCCUAGAGUAAGAAUUCAUACUUGCUCACAUCUUGGAGUCUACAAAGUAAGAAGAAUUCUUUUUUUAAAAAAUUAAAACCUUAUUCAAUCAAAGGGUUUAGCAAGAUAGUAUUAAAUUCCUACGAGUAUGUUUCUAGUGAAAAGAACCUCCUCACAGCAGCCCCCAGGAUAUCAUUACUGGAGAGGCAGCGAGUACUUUAUUACACAUGAAACCUUGGCGACUGUCUCAGCCUUCCCAAGCAUGCAGGUUUCAUCUCGUGGGCCCAGAGCCCUGGCUUCCACAGCGAAGGCCAUCUGCUUGGCCUCCCCGUCAUGCCAGGCAAUGUGUAGGUGCAAAGGCCAGGGCUGGGAGACAAAGAAAGGCUGUCUACUGAGAAAGAGUGUGCUUUUCUUCCUGUCUGCCUGGACACCCAUCCCCACUACUCAGAUGAGUUCAGUGUUUGCAGAAAACUUAGUUUAAUAUACUUGAGAAAGUGAGCCCUUAACAGGUUAAAAUAUAAUUAAUCGUAGCUGUCAGGGGUAAUAGACCAAGAAAUUGCACUGGGAAUCUUUUUUUUUAAAUUAUAUAACAAAUUUAAAAACAAAUAAACACAGUUUGUACUUUCCUGUACCUUUUACAAGAUCCUGCAAUUCUUAAAUUUCUUUAGCUUCUGGAAAUGUCAGGGUAAGAAAGAAAGAGGGAAAGAGGGAGGGGAGGGGGAGGGGAGGGAGGCUGAGAGGCAUUACAAAACACUUGAGAAUUCAAAAAGAAGUAUCAUGAAGGAUAAUGAGGCUAUUAGGUAAUCGCAUAACUAUUUUAUCUAAACUCUAUUCACACACACACACAUUUUAGGGCUAGCUAUUAUGAUCAACAGGGAAGGACAUUAGCAUCUUAAAGAUAUUGCUAAUAUUAGUCAUCAAAAUUCAUACUUCAUAUUUGGUGUUAAAGUGACCCCCACCUAAAGGGGACUGAAAACAUCAGUACACUUGUGGAAAACAAACACCAGCUUGGCUGGAAGCAUAACUUUUAUUCUCAAUUAAACCACGUCGCAAUCUGCCUUUGAUGUCAUCUCAGUCCUCCUGCCUAGAACAUGAAGAAUUCUACAAGUUGCAGCUCACCUUUGGAGAUCAAUAUCUGGAGGAAACCUCCCUCUCUAAAUGCAGAUGUAUGUGCUGAGGGGAAAGGAUGUGAGAUAUUUAUUGCCUUACAAACUUUAGCGCACACUAUGCUAAGAGGGUCUAUGUCUCUUGCUUGUUCACUGGCAUAAAGCAGUCCAGGGCUCUGCACUGGGGCUACUGCAGUAGCUAUGGGUGUGUGUUCUUCUCAUAAUAUCUCAACAUUCUGUAUCUUGAAGUGCAAGACUCGGCUUUAAAAUUUUUUAAAGUAUACACACCAUGCUUACUCAGCCCUGUUGAUUUUCUCUAUCCGACCUUGACCACUGCUCUACUAACUGUAAUGGAAUCCUUAGUGACACAGGCUGAAGGAGACUGGCAUGAUGGGAAACUUUCAACUAGAAAACAGGCCUCUUCAGCUUCUCCCCACGCCAGGGGAGCCUCUGCCAGGAGGACAAGUCAAGUGGUUUAUACCCUGAGUCAUACUGCUUGCCAACAGGGUCAUUCUCUCUCUUGAGCUGGAUCCUCAGAGACCUCCCAGAGCUCAGAUCCAAAAGACACUGAAAGCAGACUAUCCAGGAAAAGGACAGGCUAUGAGGUUUAAAAAAGAUAGCGUUGAAGAAAAACAGCCAUAGCCACAGUCUUUGGGAAUAAAAAUAAGAGAAAU
rnacentral:lncRNA from 1 species